UACAUUGAAGUAAAAAUUACAUUUAGUUUCGACCUAACCUUACGGAUUUAAUAGAAUCCCUAUGUUU
rnacentral:tRNA from 1 species